rnacentral:lncRNA from 1 species
CUCGGCUCGGAUCUACCUUCCAGUAGCAGCGGAGUGGCCAAUGGGACCGGGACCAGAGCCGGGGGCCGGAGGCCGCCGCCGCGGGGAGGUUCCCGGCCCAGGUGCCCAGCGCUCACCAGCCCGGCGGCGCCGCGGCGGCCCCGCAGCUGUUUCCUCGGGGGGGCGUGGCGUCGGGGGCCUUCGCGGCGCAGUCCUCUUUCAGCAUCCCGAACAGCAGCAGCGGCCCGUAGGACUCGCAGGACUCGGUGCACAGCAGCCCUGAGGAUGGCGGCGGCGGCCGGCACCGGCCGGUGGGCUGGAGCCCCGGCGGGCCGCUCCUGGUGAUCGGCUCCUUACCAGCUCACCUCUCACCGCGCAUGUUUGGAGGUGCUGAGAAACAUAAUGUCUGUUCCCCAAGAGCCAGCUAAUCAUUUUUACUAAGUACGAUAAUUGGCUGCCCUGAUUCAGAUAACAUAUCCUUAUUGUGACAUAGGGGUGACUAUUGUCAGAAAACCCUGAAAAUGUUUUAAAACAAGAACUAAUGGGGCUUGGCGAUUCUUGCCACGCUUUUCCAGAGCUCGGACCUUGCUAUUAUUUGCUACUAGACACCCACAAACCCUUGCUUGUUAAACUGAUCGCCUUCAAGACUCAAGAAAAGCGCCAUGCGGCUCCCUCCUAGGGCUC